rnacentral:sRNA from 1 species
UUGGGAGGAAAUGGUUAUAAUUGUUGUCUAAACACUUCUUGUCCAUCCCUAACUCUUAUAAUUAUUCAAUUGCAUUGGAUUGUGACACAUUUUGACAAUAGAAACACUAACAAAUCUAUUGACUGCUUCUGAGCAAGUUUUGUUUGUUUUAGCCUCUUUUGGGAGAAAAUGGGUAUAAGUGUUGUCUAAACACUUCUUAUAAAUCUCUAACUCUUAUAAUUAGUCAAUUGCAUUGGAUUGUGACACAUUAUGACCAUAGAAAAACUAACAAAUCUAUUGACUGCUUCUAAGCAAGUUUUGUUGGUUUUAGCCUCUUUUGGGAGAAAAUGGGUAUAAGUGUUGUCUAAACACUUCUAAUCCAUCUCUAACUCUUAUAAUUAGUCGAAUGCAUUGGCUUGUUAUACCUUUUGACCAUAAAAACACUAACAAAGCUAUUUAUUGCUUCUAAGCAAUAUUUUGUUGGUUAUAGCUUCUUUUGUGAGUAAAUGGGUAUAAGUGUUGUCUAAACACUCCUAAUCCAUCGCUACCUCUUAUAAUUAGUCAAAUGCAUUGGAUUGUGACACAUUUUGACCAUAUAAACACUAACAAAUCUAUUGAGUUGUUCUAAGCAAGUUUUUUUUGGUUUUAGCCUCUUUUGGGAGGAAAUGGGUAUAAGUAUUGUCUAAACACUUAUUAUCCAUCUCUAACUCUUAUAUUAGUCAAUUGCAUUGGAUUGUGACACAUUUUGACCAUAGAAGCGCUAAUAAAUCUAUUGACUGCUUCUAAGCAAGAUUUGUUUGUUUUAGCCUCUUUUGGGAGAAAACGGGUAUACGUCUUAGCUAAAGACUCCUAAUCUAUCUCUAACUCUAUCAUUAGUCUAAUGCAUUUGAUU